GACGAACGCUGGCGGCGUGCUUAACACAUGCAAGUCGAACGGAAAGGCCCUGCUUGCAUGGUACUCGAGUGGCGAACGGGUGAGUAACACGUGGGUGAUCUGCCCUGCACUUCGGGAUAAGCCUGGGAAACUGGGUCUAAUACCGGAGAGGAGCCAUUUUUAGUGUGAUGGUUGGAAAGUGUUUUCGGUGUAGGAUGAGCUCGCGGCCUAUCAGCUUGUUGGUGGGGUAAUGGCCUACCAAGGCGGCGACGGGUAGCCGGCCGGAGAGGGUGGACGGCCACAUUGGGACUGAGAUACGGCCCAGCCUCCUACGGGCGGCAGCCGGGGGGAAUAUUGCACCAUGGGCGCAAGCCUGAUGCAGCGACGCCGCGUGGGGGAUGACGGACUUCGGGUUGUAAACUACUUUCGCUAGGGACGAAGCUUUUUGUGACGGUACCUAGAUAAGAAGCACCGGCUAACUACGUG
rnacentral:rRNA from 1 species